UACGUAGGGGGCGAGCGUUGUCCGGAAUCAUUGGGCGUAAAGCGCGUGUAGGCGGCCCGGUAAGUCUGCUGUGAAAGCCCAGGGCUCAACCCUGGGAUGCCGGUGGAUACUGUCGGGCUAGAGUCCGGAAGAGGCGAGUGGAAUUCCUGGUGUAGCGGUGAAAUGCGCAGAUAUCAGGAGGAACACCAAUGGCGAAGGCAGCUCGCUGGGACGUGACUGACGCUGAGACGCGAAAGCGUGGGGAGCAAACAGG
rnacentral:rRNA from 1 species